UACGCAUUUGCUGACCCAAAGAAAGUAACUAUAUUCUCGCUGGAAAUGCUCAUAUUAAGUCCCAGAAGGACAAAGUCUUUGAUACGCUUAAAGCGUAUAGACAAAUCGGUUUCAUAAUAACUUCUUAAUAAAGAAGAUGAGCAAAUGAUCAAAGUGAUCAUAAUAGGGAGGCAAGUGAUCUAGAAGAUCACAUGACAUAACACUUCAU
rnacentral:lncRNA from 1 species